rnacentral:lncRNA from 10 species
AGGGGGAAAGGGCUUUCCAGAAAAUGCUAGGGAAUCUAAAGCAAACUUCAAUAUCUGGUUUUGCUGAGGCUCAUGCCUGCACAGCAUGAAGGUUGCUCUGCAAGCCACGUCAGCCACUGGCUUUUCAUUUUGGGGUUGUUUGAGUCUCCCUGUGAGCUGAGCCAGGCAGUGGAGGAAAUGAAGAGGCUCUCAAGGGAGGGGCAGGGGAAAGAGACAGUGGCAGGGUGGGUGCAGCUGGCAGUGAGAGACUCUGCCUCUUCAACACGGAUGGCUCCUCCCGCUGCCGCUGCUGCUCCAGGAGACAGGUUCUUAUGCAGGAAUGAAAGACAUGGAGGGGAAGAGGGGGGCCAGCUCCCUGAGUCCUGUGUCCACCAGCUGCUGCUAAAUACCUCUCAGAAACUCUGCUUCUCGCUAAGGGGACCUACUUCUCUCGGGAAUCUCAAUACUUGGAACAAGAACCUCGUGGAUGGACCCUUUGGCAAAAUGAAUUGGACCAACCAUAGGUUCCAGGACUGGAGAGCCAGCAAUGCCUCCCUGGACAAUCCCACUCAAUUACUCUGCUCAGAGAACAUCACCACCCUGAAGCCAGAGACUAACCCUGAAGGACUCAGCAGUCUAAGCACAGCAGCCACAGCCCUUUCUGGCUCCAUUGCUGUGGUGGCCCUCAUCUUGCUCCUGGUGGGUCUCUUGUCCAUGACCCUGAAGAAAUGGAGGCAUGAGAGACUAUUUAAGAAACAACUGAGGCAUCAGGCCAACUUUCCCCACAAGUCCUCGGAUCUUUCCCGCCGUGCUGAUGCCAUAUAUUCCAACGUGAUCAACCUGGCCCCCCAGAAGGAGGAUGACUUUGCUGUCUAUGCCAACAUGCCCCCUUUUCAUCACCCCAGGAGGACAUCGCCAGACCAAGUGGAAUAUGCCUCCAUUGAAUUCCACUGA